AUCUGCUCAGCAAGUCCAAGGUGUACGACGUUGCGGCGCUGAGUGCCAUUUUCCUGCACAACAACUACAACUACAUCUCAAGUCCCUGGAGAAGUCUGAACUGAUCCAGCUGGUGACGGUGACCCAGAAAAACGCUGAGACCUCCUACAGGGAGCUGAUCGAGCAGCAGAUUCAGACCUACCAGCACAGCUGGUCAAAGGUCACGGAGCACCUAACAGACCGAACAUGCCUGUUUUCCAACCCGGCGUCAAGCUGAAAGAUAAAGAGCGGCAGGUGAUCAAAGAUAAAUUCAAGGGCUUUAAUGAGGGCUUGGAAGAGCUGUGUA